UCCUCCUCUCUCCGGCCCCCCUCCUCUCCACUCGUAGGGGUCACCGGAGGGCGAAGAUUGUUAGGUUGGCGGCGGAACCUACGGACGGAGGCUGGGCAGGUGGAGGUGGCGGCGGACCUCGAGCUCUCCCCAUCCAUGGCGGUACCAAGAGUUCAAGUCCGGCGAGUCCCUCCGAAUGCAUUGAAUGGAUAGGGGACAUGGAAAGGCGAAUGAAACUCUGAAUGAAGCAAGUGAAGGAUCCGUGUUCAAGACACGGAAUAUAACAAGUAACCAAGAAACUUUGUGGCUGCUAGCUACUAGCCUGGCGUAGUGGCGUAUAAUGCUUCAGAUUAUUGAGUGAAGCUACAUCAGAGUAUCAGCAGGAUACAGGAUUGGGCAAACAGCUGAACAAGGUUUGCUGGACAACACCAAGUUCUGAGAAAAGUACUGUUGAAGAAGAAGGCUAUUCUCAUUCGUAAGGCUCUGUCAUCCAUUUUCAGGGAGAACAGGUGACCUACUGAUGAGUUUGUGUACCAAUGCUAGGAUCUUAUCCAAUUCCAAAUUUGCCAUGAAGUGCUGCAAAUGAUUGGUACAUGAACAAAUAAUUGGUUUAGAUGAUUGAACACGGGAAUAUAUGACACAUUUGACGACGGUCAAACAUCCACACAUUCAGGUAUGUGUCGCAUGACAAGUGCAUGAAUGCGGCAAUUCAGCUAUAUACCACGGUCAGAAGCCUAGGACUUGCAAGUACAGGUUGUGGAAGAGAAGACCUGUACCUGAAUAUUCAUGUUCAACACAAGAUGAUGGCAUCAAUGACACCAGCCUUUGACAUGUGUGCAGGAAAACAAAAGUUGGUGCAGGCAAGUGGGCACCAGUAGCACCUGGAAGCUGGAGUUAUCCAAUUAGUUUAGGUACAUCUGCUUCCAAUGAGAAACAUCGUCGUCCUUUGUCGAUCCAGAAGAAGCAGCCACCAUCAACUAACCGCCUUUGUUAAAUCUUGUAAUGUUUGUGAACUGUUGCAGGGGCGUCGCUCCUGUGUAUCUGGGUAUGCAAUACUAUGCUAUAGCAAACCUGACCACUCGAACCUCCAUUCUCAAAUGUUCAUUGUUGUUCUUUAUUACACACCUACAACUGACCAGUGUUUUCUUUUCUCUAUUUUUCAUAUGGAAAUUCUUUGUUGUGUACCAUUUGUUUUUUAACUAUGCAUACUAAAUUGACAAAUGUUUUUCUGGCAUGUAAUGGAAGUGAUUAUUCGUA